GCUUAGAAGCAGCCAUUCAUUUAAAGAGUGCGUAACAGCUCACUAGUCAAGAGAUCUUGCGUGGAAAAUGUAACGGGGCUAAAACGUUAUACCGAAGAUAUGGAUGUCAGAUUUAUCUGGCGUGGUAGAGGAGCGUUCCUAUCAGCAGUGAAGUCGAAUCGGAAGGUUCGGUGGAGCGGUAGGAAGUGAGAAUGCUGGAAUGAGUAACCAUAAGAGAGGUGAGAAUCCUCUCGGCCGUAAGAGCAAGGUUUCCUGAGCCAUGGUAAUCAUCUCAGGGUUAGUCGGGCCUAAGCCGAGGCGCAGAGCGUAGGCGAUGGACAUCAGGUUAAUAUUCCUGAACCGGUUAAGUUUUGUACACUGUUCACGGGGAAGUAAUCGAAGCGGAUUCAUGGUUUAUCCGUCCAACCGAGCGGGAACGCAAAGGGAGUGAAAGUGAUUCUUCGGAGUCGCGAUUUUGGUGAAAGCCCUGGCUAGAAAAGCAGGUGUACGCGUGGACUUAGCCGCCCGUACCGCAAACCAACACAGGUGCUCGAGUCGAGUAGACUCAGGCUUACGAGCGAACCUUCGCUAAGGAACUCGGCAAUACAGCGACCGUAACUUCGGGAUAAGGUCUGCCCCCACUUCGGUGGAUAUCAGCCGCGUUCACUCAGUGAAUAUUAGGUUAAAGAGUACAUUUUUAAUCACAAAACGAAUUUUCUGAGAUAGAGCAAACGAAUUGUUCUUUUGAACGCGAACCUCUGGCAUCUAACGAUGUGGGGGCCGCAGCAAAAGAGCCCACGGAACUGUUUAUCAAAAACACAGGUCUCUGCUAACACGAAAGUGGAUGUAUAGGGGCUGACUCCUGCCCAGUGCUGGAAGGUUAAGGGGAGUGCUUUACGGUGCGAACUGAAGCCCCAGUGAACGGCGGCGGUAACUAUAACCGUCCUAAGGUAGCGAAAUUCCUUGUCAGGUAAGUUCUGACCCGCACGAAUGGAGUAAUCAUGUGGGCACUGUCUCAGCGAAGGACUCGGUGAAAGUGCAUUGGCGGUAAAGAUGCCGUCUGUCCGUACCAGGACGAAAAGACCCCAUGGAGCUUUACUACAGCUUUACAUUGAAUAUGGUUUCAACAUGUGUAGCAUAGGUGGGAGACUUUGAAGCAGAUACGCCAGUAUUUGUGGAGUCGCCAGGUGAAAUACCACCCUUGUUGUGAUUGUGUUCUCACGCUGACCGUUAUCCGGUUAGCGGACCGUGUAUGGUGGGUAGUUUA
rnacentral:rRNA from 1 species